GCCAGUGUGGUAGUGGUUUGAACAUUAGUCUAUGACUCUGGAGACCAGGAUUCAAAUCCCUGCUCAGUCA